CGGAUUGCAGGCUGCAACCCGCCCUGCAUGAAGUCGGAAUUGCUAGUAAUCGCGGAUCAGCAUGCCGCGGUGAAUACGUUCCCGGGCCUUGUACACACCGCCCGUCACACCAUGAGAGCCGGUAACACCCGAAGUCAGGAGCCUAACCGCAAGGAGGGCGCUGCCGAAGGUGGGAUUGGUAAUUGGGUGAAGUCGUAACAAGGUAAC
rnacentral:rRNA from 1 species